rnacentral:rRNA from 1 species
ACCCUACGGGGGGCAGCAGUAGGGAAUCUUCCACAAUGGACGAAAGUCUGAUGGAGCAACGCCGCGUGAGUGAAGAAGGGUUUCGGCUCGUAAACUUCUAUCAACAGGGACGAAAGAAAUGACGGUACCUGAAUAAGAAGCCCCGGCUAACUACGUGCCAGCAGCCGCGGUAAUACGUAGGGGGCAAGCGUUAUCCGGAAUUACUGGGUGUAAAGGGUGAGUAGGCGGCAUGGUAAGCCAGAUGUGAAAGCCUUGGGCUUAACCCGAGGAUUGCAUUUGGAACUAUCAAGCUAGAGUACAGGAGG